rnacentral:rRNA from 1 species
GACGAACGCUGGCGGCGUGCUUAACACAUGCAAGUCGAACGAGAAUCUGCUGAAGGAGGAUUCGUCCAACGGAAGCAGAGGAAAGUGGCGGACGGGUGAGUAACGCGUGAGGAACCUGCCUUGAAGAGGGGGACAACAGUUGGAAACGACUGCUAAUACCGCAUAAGCGCACAGUACCGCAUGGUACAGAGCGAAAAAACUCCGGUGGUAUAGGAUGGGCCCGCGUCUGAUUAGUUAGUUGGCGGUGUAACGGACCACCAAGACGACGAUCAGUAGCCGGCUUGAGAGAGUGAACGGCCACAUUGGGACUGAGACACGGCCCAAAACUCCUACGGGAGCAGCAGUGAGGAAUAUUGGUCAAUGGACGAGAGUCUGAACCAGCCAAGUAGCGUGAAGGAUGACUGCCCUAUGGGUUGUAAACUUCUUUUAUACGGGAAUAAAGUGAGGCAUGUGUGCCUUUUUGAUGUACCGUAUGAAUAAGGAUCGGCUAACUCCGUAG